rnacentral:rRNA from 1 species
AAAUUGAAGAGUUUGAUCAUGGCUCAGAUUGAACGCUGGCGGCAGGCCUAACACAUGCAAGUCGAACGGUAACAGGAAGCAGCUUGCUGCUUCGCUGACGAGUGGCGGACGGGUGAGUAAUGUCUGGGAAACUGCCUGAUGGAGGGGGAUAACUACUGGAAACGGUGGCUAAUACCGCAUAAUGUCGCAAGACCAAAGAGGGGGACCUUCGGG